rnacentral:rRNA from 1 species
CUACGGGGGGCUCAAGUGAGGAAUAUUGCACAAUGGGGGGAACCCUGAUGCAGCAACGCCGCGUGGAGGAUGACGCAUUUCGGUGUGUAAACUCCUUUUAUAUGUCAAGAAAAUGACGGUAGCAUAUGAAUAAGCACCGGCUAACUCCGUGCCAGCAGCCGCGGUAAUACGGAGGGUGCAAGCGUUACUCGGAAUCACUGGGCGUAAAGGACGCGUAGGCGGGUUGGAAAGUCAGGUGUGAAAUCCUACAGCUUAACUGUAGAACUGCACUUGAAACUUCUAAUCUAGAGUAUGGGAGGGGGAGAUGGAAUUAGUGGUGUAGGGGUAAAAUCCGUAGAUAUCACUAGGAAUACCUAAAGCGAAGGCGAUCUCCUGGAACAUUACUGAUGCUAAGGCGUGAAAGCGUGGGGAGCAAACAGGAUUAGAUACCCCCGUAGUC